rnacentral:rRNA from 1 species
UACGUAGGGUCCAAGCGUUAUCCGGAUUUAUUGGGCGUAAAGAACACGUAGGUGGUUUGAUAAGUCUUCCUUUAAAGCUCUGGGCUCAACCCAGAAUCUGGGGAGGAUACUGUCAAGCUAGUGGUCAGCAGGGGCAAAUGGAAUUCCCGGUGUAGGAGUGAAAUCCGUUGAUAUCGGGAGGAACACCAAUGGCGAAGGCAAUUUGCUAGGCUGAUUCAGACACUGAGGUGUGAAAGCGUGGGGAGCGAACGGG